GCGAAAGUGAUGGAACUGGUAGACGUGCUGGAUUUAGGAUCCAGUGGCUUACGCCGUGGGGGUUCGACUCCCCCCUUUCGCACCA
rnacentral:tRNA from 1 species